AAUGCCGGAUGCUCCGACUCCUCGCAUGGGGUGUCGGGAAAGAUUUCAUCGGUAUGGGAUGGGGUCGCGUCCUAUCAGGUAGUCGGCGGGGUAACGGCCCACCGAGCCUACGACGGGUAGCCGGCCUGAGAGGGCGACCGGCCACAUUGGGACUGAGAUACGGCCCAGACUCCUACGGGAGGCAGCAGUGGGGAAUAUUGCACAAUGGGCGCAAGCCUGAUGCAGCGACGCCGCGUGCGGGAUGACGGCCUUCGGGUUGUAAACCGCUUUUGAUCGGGAGCAAGCCUUCGGGUGAGUGUACCUUUCGAAUAAGCACCGGCUAACUACGUGCCAGCAGCCGCGGUAAUACGUAGGGUGCAAGCGUUAUCCGGAAUUAUUGGGCGUAAAGGGCUCGUAGGCGGUUCGUCGCGUCCGGUGUGAAAGUCCAUCGCUUAACGGUGGAUCUGCGCCGGGUACGGGCGGGCUGGAGUGCGGUAGGGGAGACUGGAAUUCCCGGUGUAACGGUGGAAUGUGUAGAUA
rnacentral:rRNA from 1 species